rnacentral:lncRNA from 1 species
GGGGGUAAAAGUCAAGGGAGCAGUUGGGAAGAGACACAGGAAAGGGAGAAGAAUGAGAUGACUAGAGGAUUCUCCUCCAAUUUGCCAAGGUCAUAGGGAAGCAGGAGUUGAAGUGUAAGCCUUGUAACUUGAUUUUUUGGCUAGCUGUGAACUACCUCUCAGUUAACUGUGCCAACAAAUUAAUUGUGAGACCAUGAGGCUGAGAGACUCCAACUCUUCAAAUGUGCUAGGUGAAAUGAACAACUCCUUCUUGACUUCAUUGUAGUUGCUUUAAAUAGCAAUGUUGAAUCUUCACGUGGGACUUUCAGUCAUGGCUUUGGACCAACUUCCUCUUGAAAG